GGAGCAGUAGCGCAGUGGUAGAGCUUCCCAUUCGUGCGAGGGAAGACCUGGGUUCGGUUCCCAGCUGCUUAC
rnacentral:tRNA from 1 species